rnacentral:misc_RNA from 1 species
AAUAAAAAUUAAUAUUUUUGGAGUCGAUAAUCGAUAAAUUUUUUUCGUCUAAAAUUGCGGUGUUCUAUUUUUAAGAAUUAAUAUAACAAGUGAAUAGUGUCGAAAUAUCAAUGCAUAUAUUUUUAUAAAUAAUAGACAGUAUAUACAACAGACUUUAAGGAAAAACUGUAAAGUAAAAUAAAAAUAGACUAAAAGUGCUAAAAUAUUAAUAUAUGUUAUGAAUAGUGAGCGUGCCUAUUUUUUCUGCUUAAUCGAUCUCUGGUGACCAUUUUUAUUCUAUAAUACCAAGUUCCAGGCUUAUUGUUUCGCAUGCCGUAACUAUCAACGAAUGAAGAAGGAUGACGAGACAAUCAAGGGGGGUCUUAAUGAUCCUGAGUCUGUUGAGUGUAACACUGAAUGUGAAGUCGAGUAUCACAGACUCAUCGGAAGCGGAAUUAAUCGACGAGACAGAAAUAAUAGCAACGACGACGAAGCGUACGUUGCCCGAUCGCUGUUUGGUGAAAACAGACACCGGUCCUUGCAAAUAUUAUAUUCACAAAUGGACGUUCAACAAAGCCGAGAAUAAAUGCAGAACUUUUGUUUACGGAGGCUGUUUAGGAAACGAAAACAGAUUCAACUCUCAGCUAGAAUGUCUGCAUUAUUGUAUCGGCGGUCCCAAUUAUACUCUGCCAUCUUAUAUGGUGACAAAAGGAAGCGUUUUUGUUACAACGAGUACUACUACGACAAGUACUGUGCCUACAACGACGCCAAGCACUCCUUCACCUACAUUUAUCCCUCCAGAACCGACGAGACCUCCGGUUCCAAAACACAAACGAGGAAAGGAAUUAACAUUCAUGGAAUCUGGUUACGAAAAAACAUUCAUGUUCGCCCAAAGCAAUACAUUCAUUCAACUCGACGGAAGUGGAAUAAAAACAUUUCAACUGCGUUUGUGCCGCGAAAUAUCCUUCCAAUUUCGGACGAAACUCCCCCAUGGACUUUUGGUCUACCACAGUGUAAAAGAUCGCCCAGAAAGCUUGGACCCAUAUGCUCUGUACGUAAUUGUAGAAAAAGGACAACUUAAAGUCGUCCACGUGUUUGGCAAAGCUUCUACGAGUUUAACCGUCGGAGAGGGCCUCAAUCGCGACGAAUGGCAUAGCGUUCUUGUACGUAUAGACGUUCACGGUGCCAAAUUAAUCGCCCGUGUCGAUGAUAAACAAGAAGAAACUACUCUUGAAGUUCUAGAACGUGUCAUAAAUUACGGGGUCUCGGAAGAUCUUGCAUCGGUCGUUCUUAUCGGCGGAUUGAGUUCAGAAGAAAGAUUACAUGGUGUUAAAUAUAUCAUUGAAUCUUUCGUAGGAUGUAUCAAAGAUAUGGUAUUAAGUUCUGGAAAAUCAGCAAGUGAUUUACUUCCAAUACGUCCUUUAAUUGCAACCAAACAUGAAAAUGUUAAAGAAGGCUGUAUCAAUAAAUGUUGGACGAGAGAAAAUUUGUGUUUUAUUGGCAGUCAAUGUAUCAAUCAUUACAACAGUUUGACAUGUGAUUGUUUCGGAACAAGAUAUGAGGGAGAACGUUGUGACGUUUACACUGCGACAAUUUUAACUCUCCGAGGGUCUUCAUACGUGUCUUUCAGAGUUUACGAUUGGAAAGACCGAGUUCAUUCUUCUGUUAAUCGACUAAGUUUAAUGUUCAAAACACGUUGGGAUGACUCUGUACUGUUUUACGCAUCCGGCGAGAUAGACGGUACGGCUCACUACGUAUCAGCCAGCAUAAUUAAUAAAAAAGUUCAUAUUUCCCUUGACUUUGGUCACGACUCAAAGAUAACUACGACCUUAGGUGAUUACGUUAACUCGAAUCACUGGAAUAAUUUAACAAUAUUUCAUAAUGGCUCUCAAGUGACUGUAAGUCUUGAUUACGAAACUCAAAUACUUGAAAUACCUGGUGAUAAUCAUUACAUGAUUAUUGACCCGGAAAUUUAUAUUGGCGGGGGUCCUGAAUUGCACAAAAAAAGGGGUCUUAUGUCUUACAAUAAUUUUGCAGGCGCACUAAAGUACGUUUUUUAUAACGACAAGUCAAUAAUAUAUGAGCUCAAAAAAUCAAAUCCAAUGGUUCAUUACAUAGGAGUACUUCAACCAGAAUAUUAUGAAGUGGAUGUCGACGUAAUUCCAAUAACUUACCCGUUCGCGGGGAGUCAUAUCUGGUGGCCAAUAGCCAGAACUGAUUCUCUGAUGCUUAAUUUCGACUUCCAAAGCUCAGAACCGGUGGCCGUAGUCGCUUCUGGCGACGUUAAAAGCGACCAAGGUAUCGGAUACUGGGAGUUGAGACUUGUCAACGAUGAGAUGAGAUUUCAGUUGAUUCCAGUUUUAAGUGAAAAUAUAACUGUUUCCUCUUCCGUUAAAUUUCCGCCGGAUAACAAGACAUCUUGGCAUGCAGUUGAGCUCAAUUACACCAAGGGUGAACUCAACAUUAUUGUAGACUAUAGACAUAAACAGGGAAAAUUGUUCGCGAUGACCUUCGAACUCGGUGACAAAGUUAUUAUCGGUAGCGGUAAAAGCGAUGCAGGUUUAGUCGGUUGUAUGAGAAAUAUAAAAGUUAAUGAUGAAGUUAUUGAACCGCGGUAUGUUAUUAAUACUGAGAGAGUUGUUGGUGAAGUUGCUUUGGACAAUUGCCAAUUUGUUGAUCCUUGUAAGAGGCCAAACACUUGUGAACAUGGAGGAAAAUGUUCUGUCAAAGAAAACAAAAUUACUUGUGAUUGCAGCGAUACCGGAUACAUUGGAAAAAAUUGUCAUUUUGCGCAAUAUCGUAAAACCUGUGAAGAAUUGGCAUUAUUAGGAUACACCCAAGAUGACGUUUAUAAAAUAGAUAUAGACGGGAACGGUAGAUUUCCUCCAGCAUUAGUAAAAUGUGAAUUUCAAUCAAUCGAGGAUGCAACUAAAACAAUUGUGGAGCAUAAUUUACCAUCUCAAGUAGACGUAAGAUCAAUAGCGGAAGAUGAUUUUUCUUUCAAUAUAACUUAUCGGCAAUUUACCGGUGAAAUGCUGCAAGAAUUGAUUUCACACUCACUAUACUGCAGUCAGUACGUUAAAUAUGACUGCUACAAAGCGCCUUUGGACCUUCAUAGUGCCACUUGGUUCCACGGUUCCAAAGAAACGAUCGUUGAUCAUAUUGGAAAUGCUAAUCGUGGCUCCUGCCCUUGUGGAACAAAUAGAACAUGUGUAAAUCCGGAAUUAAGCUGCAAUUGCGAUGUUUCCGCUGGUAAAUGGCUUUCAGAUGAAGGUUACUAUGAAAGUCCUGACUCUUUAGGUGUCAUGAAGAUGGUUUUUAUUCAGCAGAAGGAUUUGGAAGACGACGCUCAAGGAAGGAUAACACUUGGGCCUCUAGAAUGCGUUGAAACAAAUACACAAAAAUACGUCGUUACCUUUACGACUUCCCAAUCGUACAUCGAAGUUCCAGGAUGGCGUAAAGGCGACAUAGCUUUUAGUUUCCGUACAACUGGAGAAAAGGCUAUUCUUUUAUACCAACCUCCGAUUAGAAGCAACUACCCUUCGUUUAUGGUCGUACUGACUUCUGAAUACCGCCUUACUUUUAAUUUUACUCUAAAUACCGGAGCGAAUCGUGAAAUGGAAGUGAAAAGCCGUCGAAAACUAAACAACGGUGAAUGGCAGAAAAUUUGGAUCGACUACAAUGACUACCAUGUUCGAUUUAUGAUCAAUACUGACUUCCAAAUGGUUGAAUUACUGCCUGAAGAAGAGUUUGGACCGUUUGAGGGCUCAAUGUUCAUUGGUGGAGCAACUGCGGAGCACUUGAAAACUUCAGAAGUAAGGCAAGGCUUGAUUGGAUGUUUCCGUGGUUUGGUUGUCAAUGGAGAAAUUUUGGACAUCCAUAGUUACAUGUCAGUUCACUUAUCAGAAAUUAUUAAAGAUUGUAAGCCAUCAUGUCAACCAAACAAGUGCCAAAAUGGUGCGAGAUGCGUCGAGCUCUGGAGUAAUUUCGAAUGUGUGUGCGAAAAUAAAUGGGCGCAUCAAGGAACAUUUUGCGAAACAAAUAUCAACAGCAAAGCACUGACAUUUUCAUCUCCGGGUGCAUUUCUGAAGAAGAACUACUUUGGGUCCGGUGCUGAUGAAGAGAAGCUACUGCUGAAGAGUAUGCUGAUGGAGAAUAUCCUGAUAAAUCUCCGGACCUACGACACCCACUCGCUAAUCCUGUACGCCAAUGACCACCUGAACAACUUUGCUCAUCUCUACAUAUCCAACGGGACCAGCAUUGUCUACUUGUUUAACACCGGGAACGAGAUAAAGAACAUCACCGUCCAGUAUCCAGGAGUAAACACCGGGAUAUCGGUUCAAAUCGCUAUUGUCAGAGGUCCAACUUCAACUACGCUACAUGUUAAUAAUCACAAUGUCACGCUGGAUGCUAUACCGCUCCUGCUGGAUACUUAUUCCAAUAAGCCGUGGAUCAAUCCAGAGAAGGAAGUCUUGGCACCACAACGACCACCUGCUCCGCCAACGGAUUACUUUCAAGUUAAUUUAGGAGGAUUUGAUCCAGACAAUCUUCUUCGGGUUGGAAAAGAAGGGAAUCUUAUUCAAGGAUACGUCGGGUGUCUUCGAGGUCUCAUGAUCGCUGAAUAUCUUGUAGAUCUUCCAAAUCUGGCUAGUGAAGCUAAUCACGAAGGAAGCAAAGGGGUUUUGCCAAAUUGUCAAAUGAAAUGUGACGCUAUGCCGUGUAAAAAUCUUGGAAUUUGCACGGAAGACUUUGGCAAGCAAGAAUCUUCUUGUAAUUGCGAGUUGACUUCUUAUUUUGGAGAAAAUUGUGCUGAUGAAAAAGGCGCUGAUUUCAGCGGUGAAAGUAAUCUGCAAAGAGGCUUUGAGUUAGAAGGCGAAGUAAAACAAGUUAAAGUUCAGUUGGCCUUUUCCACAAACGACUUACGGCAACGAACAUCAGCGUUAUUAUUACUACAAACUGAAAACAAGAGAACUUACUAUCUGCUGGUAGCAUUGACUUCGGAAGGUCAGUUGAUUUUUGAAGAGGAUAGAGAAGGUUCAACUUACGGAGUUCGAUUAAAUGAUAGGAAUUUUUUGAAUGGUGCAAGGCAUAGUGUUUAUUACGUACGAGAUAAUAAUACUGCUACUUUAAUGAUUGAUCGUGAACCUGUACAAUUAUUACCAAUUCCCGUUUUAAGUAUCAAUGACGAUGAUAAUGAUAAUCACCAGGAAGAAGAUGAAAGUCCUGGGUCUACUGAGAUUCAAUUAGGUGGCCUCAAUACCACUGAUCCUCGAUUUACUGCUUACAAAGGCUACACAGGGUGUCUCAGUAAUGUCAUUGUUUCUAUUAACGGAGGAGCGAUGAUGAAACCAUUAGAAGAAUAUAUGUUAUUUACUAAAAAAGGCAGUGAAACAGUGAGGGCGUCUAUUCCGGCGGGUGUCAGAAGUGCUCAAUGCGCUGUUUUUCAUGCUCAACCGCGAGGUCUCGAACCUCCAAGAAAUGACAGUGUCGGUCGAGAUAGAGCGUGGGUAGAAGACCCACCUGCAAGAGUUCCAUACAAAUCGAUAUACAAUGACGAAACUAAAGAAGAACAAGGAGCCGGCACCUAUAUUUUUAUAGUUCUCGUUUGUGUAUUUGUAUUUGCAGUACUUGGAUGUAUUUACGAAGUAAUAAGAAGUGCAAGACGUGAUCGGAAACGGAGACGAGCUCGUGCUUCAGCUGCUGUUUCAGGCAGCGGAUCUCCUGGCGGUUCUAAACGAUGGCAACCAACUUAUGCUAAUUCUGUCGUAGGUCCAUCUGGAGUUAAAACUGUCGGAUUUAAAACAAUUAUUGAAGAUGAAAAAAGACCCAAUGGUACUCAUAAUAAAAUUUCUGUUAAAGAGUACAAAUCGGUACCUAAUUCAGAGUCCAAAAAUGAUGUUUCUAAUGAUAAAAAAGUCUUUAUAAAAGAUGAAGAUUCAGAGAAGAAAGAAUUACUAGGGGUAAAUACAGGCACCGGACCAAAACCUGCGAAACCGAAUCCAUUUUCAAUGGAAGACUUAACUGAAGAGCCGGAGCUUGAAGAACGCGAGCAAGAAGAAGAAGAAGUAAACGAAGAAGAGGAGGAAGAUGAAGUUGACAAAAGUUCAACAAGUCCGGAAAUAGAAGCUCAAGUACUCGUCAAACCUGUUCCGAUAAUAACUUGGUCUAAGACGGAUACGAAUAAUGAAGAUAAUGUGAUACCAUUAAACUCCAUUACCAAAACGGAUGAAACACAAGAAACGUUUCAAUUAUUGUAAAAAGAUCGUACGCAUAUUUGGAGUUAGACAACCAUCAAAAUCUCAAGCAACGAGUCCAGAUGGAAAAUUUAA